GAUGAACGCUGACAGAAUGCUUAACACAUGCAAGUCUACUUGAUCCUUCGGGUGAUGGUGGCGGACGGGUGAGUAACGCGUAAAGAACUUGCCUUGCAGUCUGGGACAACGUCUGGAAACGGACGCUAAUACCGGAUAUUAUGAUUGAAUCGCAUGAUUUAAUUAUGAAAGCUAUAUGCGCUGCGAGAGAGCUUUGCGUCCCAUUAGUUAGUUGGUGAGGUAACGGCUCACCAAGACGAUGAUGGGUAGCCGGCCUGAGAGGGUGAACGGCCACAAGGGGACUGAGACACGGCCCUUACUCCUACGGGAGGCAGCAGUGGGGAAUAUUGGACAAUGGACCACAAGUCUGAUCCAGCAAUUCUGUGUGCACGAUGACGUUUUUCGGAAUGUAAAGUGCUUUCAGUCGGGAAGAAGUCAGUGACGGUACCGACAGAAGAAGCGACGGCUAAAUACGUGCCAGCAGCCGCGGUAAUACGUAUGUCGCAAGCGUUAUCCGGAUUUAUUGGGCGUAAAGCGCGUCUAGGCGGCAAGGAAAGUCUGAUGUGAAAAUGCGGAGCUCAACUCCGUAUGGCGUUGGAAACUGCCUUACUAGAGUACUGGAGAGGUAGGCGGAACUACAAGUGUAGAGGUGAAAUUCGUAGAUAUUUGUAGGAAUGCCGAUGGGGAAGCCAGCCUACUGGACAGAUACUGACGCUAAAGCGCGAAAGCGUGGGUAGCAAACAGG
rnacentral:rRNA from 1 species